rnacentral:rRNA from 1 species
GACGAACGCUGGCGGCGUGCUUAACACAUGCAAGUCGAACGGUGAUGACCAGCUUGCUGGUCGGAUCAGUGGCGAACGGGUGAGUAACACGUGAGUAACCUGCCCCAGACUCUGGGAUAAGCCUUGGAAACGAGGUCUAAUACUGGAUAUGAGAUACCCCUGCAUGGGGAGUGUCUGGAAAGAUUUAUCGGUCUGGGAUGGACUCGCGGCCUAUCAGCUUGUUGGUGGGGUAAUGGCCUACCAAGGCGACGACGGGUAGCCGGCCUGAGAGGCGCGACCGGCCACACUGGGACUGAGACACGGCCCAGACUCCUACGGGAGGCAGCAGUGGGGAAUAUUGCACAAUGGGCGCAAGCCUGAUGCAGCGACGCCGCGUGAGGGAUGAAGGCCUUCGGGUUGUAAACCUCUUUCAGCAGGGAAGAAGCGCAAGUGACGGUACCUGCAGAAGAAGCGCCGGCUAACUACGUGCCAGCAGCCCGCGGUAAUACGUAGGGCGCAAGCGUUGUCCGGAAUUAUUGGGCGUAAAGAGCUCGUAGGCGGUUUGUCGCGUCUGGUGUGAAAACUCAAGGCUCAACCUUGAGCUUGCAUCGGGUACGGGCAGACUAGAGUGCGGUAGGGGUGACUGGAAUUCCUGGUGUAGCGGUGGAAUGCGCAGAUAUCAGGAGGAACACCGAUGGCGAAGGCAGGUCACUGGGCCGCAACUGACGCUGAGGAGCGAAAGCAUGGGG